ensembl:snRNA U6 U6 spliceosomal RNA
UUGCUCACCUGGGCAGCACAUAUACUAACGUUGCAGUGGUGCAGAGAAGAGGAGCCUGGCCCCUCUGCAAGGAUGACACCCAAAUUCAUGCAGCGUUCCAUAUUACU